AGCGAACGCUGGCGGCAGGCUUAACACAUGCAAGUCGAGCGGGCACUUCGGUGUCAGCGGCAGACGGGUGAGUAACACGUGGGAACGUACCCUUUGGUUCGGAAUAACGCUGGGAAACUAGCGCUAAUACCGGAUACGCCCUUUUGGGGAAAGGCUUGCUGCCGAAGGAUCGGCCCGCGUCUGAUUAGCUAGUUGGUGGGGUAAUGGCCUACCAAGGCGACGAUCAGUAGCUGGUCUGAGAGGAUGAUCAGCCACACUGGGACUGAGACACGGCCCAGACUCCUACGGGAGGCAGCAGUGGGGAAUAUUGGACAAUGGGCGCAAGCCUGAUCCAGCCAUGCCGCGUGAGUGAUGAAGGCCUUAGGGUUGUAAAGCUCUUUUGUCCGGGACGAUAAUGACGGUACCGGAAGAAUAAGCCCCAGCUAACUUCGUG
rnacentral:rRNA from 1 species